AAUCAACGCUGGCGGCAGGCUUAACACAUGCAAGUCGAGCGGGGUGAUGGUGCUUGCACUAUCACUUAGCGGCGGACGGGUGAGUAAUGCUUAGGAAUCUGCCUAUUAGUGGGGGACAACAUCUCGAAAGGGAUGCUAAUACCGCAUACGUCCUACGGGAGAAAGCAGGGGAUCACUUGUGACCUUGCGCUAAUAGAUGAGCCUAAGUCGGAUUAGCUAGUUGGUGGGGCAAAGGCCUACCAAGGCGACGAUCUGUAGCGGGUCUGAGAGGAUGAUCCGCCACACUGGGACUGAGACACGGCCCAGACUCCUACGGGGGGCAGCAGUGGGGAAUAUUGGACAAUGGGGGGAACCCUGAUCCAGCCAUGCCGCGUGUGUGAAGAAGGCCUUAUGGUUGUAAAGCACUUUAAGUGAGGAGGAGGCUCUUUUGGUUAAUACCCAGAAUGAGUGGACGUUACUCGCAGAAUAAGCACCGGCUAACUCUGUGCCAGCCGCCGCAGUAACAC
rnacentral:rRNA from 1 species